AAAUGGAUGGCGCUCUAGCGUCGUGCCUAUACCGGGCCGUCAAGGCACAGUGGGCUGCCGGCAUGUUCGGAGCCGUUACGCCUUGACGAGUAGGUGGGUCGCGGCGGUGUGCGCAGAAGGGUCUGGGCGUGAGCCUGCCUGGAGCCGCCGUCGGCGCAGAUCUUGGUGGUAGUAGCGAAUACUCUAGCGAGGGCCUGGAGGACUGACGUGGAGAAGGGUUUCUUGUGAACAGCCGUUGCACAAGAGUCAGUCGACCCUAAGCCCUAGGAGAAAUCCGAUGUUGAUGGGUGGCUAAACAAAGAAUCCAUGAUCUGCUUGUUCACGUACCACGACGACUUUCGGUGCGGCCGCCCCUGAGUGGCCAGCCGGCGACUGUCGUGGUGAAACGCUGAGACAACAGCUCCCGUCGGGCAAAAGGGAAUCCGGUUCCUAUUCCGGAACCCGGCUGCGUAACCGCCAUUCAGCGGGCACUCGCCUGCGAGCGCUCGUCGGGGUAACCCAAACUGACCCGGAGACGCUGGCGGGGGGUCUGGAAAGAGUUUUCUUUUCUUUAUAAGCGUUCGAGUACCCUGGAAUCCUAUAGCAGGGAGAUAGGGUUUGGAACGCGAAGAGCACCGCAGUUGCGGCGGUGUCCGGACCUUCCCCCCGGACCUUGAAAAUCCGGGUGAGGGCUACGCGGAAGUCGCGCCGGAUCGUACCCAUAUCCGCAGCANGUCUCCAAGGUUAAGAGCCUCUAGUCGAUAGAAUAAUGUAGGUAAGGGAAGUCGGCAAA
rnacentral:rRNA from 1 species